GUGAGGAAUUUUCCGCAAUGGGCGAAAGCCUGACGGAGCAAUGCCGCGUGAAGGAUGAAGGCCUAUGGGUUGUAAACUUCUUUUCUCAGAAAAGAAUUAUGACGGUAUCUGAGGAAUAAGCAUCGGCUAACUCUGUGCCAGCAGCCGCGGUAAGACAGAGGAUGCAAGCGUUAUCCGGAAUGAUCGGGCGUAAAGCGUCUGUAGGUUGUUUAAAAAGUAUUCUGUCAAAGAUUAGGGCUUAAUCCUAGAUAGGCAGAAUAAACUUUUAAGCUGGAGUUUGGUCGAGGCAGAGGGAAUUCCCGGUGGAGCGGUGAAAUGCGUAGAUAUCGGGAGGAACACCAAAGGCGAAGGCACUCUGCUGGGCCAAUACUAACACUGAGAGACGAAAGCGAGGGGAGCAAAUGGGAUUAGAAACCCUGGUAAGUCC
rnacentral:rRNA from 1 species